rnacentral:rRNA from 1 species
CAGUCGCCGCGGGAAUACGGAGGGUGCAAGCGUUAAUCGGAAUUACUGGGCGUAAAGCGCACGCAGGCGGUUUGUUAAGUCAGAUAUGAAAUCCCCGAGCUUAACUUGGGAACUGCAUUUGAAACUGGCAAGCUAGAGUCUUGUAGAGGGGGGUAGAAUUCCAGGUGUAGCGGUGAAAUGCGUGGAGAUCUGGAGGAAUACCGGUGGCGAAGGCGGCCCCCUGGACAAAGACUGACGCUCAGGUGCGAAAGCGUGGGGAGCAAACAGGAUUAGAUACCCCUGGUCCCUGUCUCUUAUACAC